rnacentral:rRNA from 1 species
AGUCGAGGGGCAGCAUGAACUGUAGCAAUACAGUUUGAUGGCGACCGGCAAACGGGUGCGGAACACGUACACAACCUUCCUUCAACUGGAGAAUAGCCUCUCGAAAGAGAGAUUAAUACUCCGUAACAUAAUGAAGUGGCAUCACUUUAUUAUUAUAGAUACGUCGGUUGAAGAUGGGUGUGCGGCUGAUUAGGUAGUUGGUGAGGUAACGGCUCACCAAGCCAACGAUCAGUAGCUGAUGUGAGAGCAUGAUCAGCCACACGGGCACUGAGACACGGGCCCGACUCCUACGGGAGGCAGCAGCAAGGAAUAUUGGUCAAUGGACGCAAGUCUGAACCAGCCAUGCCGCGUGAAGGAUGAAGGCCCUCUGGGUUGUAAACUUCUUUUAUCUGGGACGAAAUCCCCCUUUCUAGGGGAGUUGACGGUACCAGAGGAAUAAGCACCGGCUAACUCCGUGCCAGCAGCCGCGGUAAUACGGAGGGUGCAAGCGUUAUCCGGAUUCACUGGGUUUAAAGGGUGCGUAGGCGGGAAGAUAAGUCAGUGGUGAAAGCUUUCAGCUUAACUGAAAAAUUGCCAUUGAUACUGUCUUUCUUGAAUAUAGUUGAGGUUGGCGGAAUGUGUCAUGUAGCGGUGAAAUGCUUAGAUAUGACACAGAACACCGAUUGCGAAGGCAGCUGGCUAAACUAUUAUUGACGCUGAGGCACGAAAGCGUGGGGAUCAAACAGGAUUAGAUACCCUGNUAGUCCACGCCCUAAACUAUGGAUACUCGACAUUAGCGAUACACCGUUAGUGUCUAAGCGAAAGCAUUAAGUAUCCCACCUNNGAAGUACGACCGCANGNUGAAACUCAAAGGGAAUUGACGGGGGUCCGCACAAGUGGNNGAGUAUGUGGUUU